rnacentral:rRNA from 1 species
GAGUGCGUGCUCUUGGCCACCCAUGUUGAUCGUGGAUUUUCUUUGCCGCCGAGUAUUUUCUUCCGUGGUUUCUUGAACUUCUUUGGAGCGCAGCUCCACCACUUUACCCCAAAUUCUAUCGCCUAUCUUGCCGCGUUCGUGUCCAUGUGUGAGGGUUUUCUGGGUUGUCGACCGCACUGGGGCUUGUUCCAGCAUAUAUUCACGUGUCGCUCUCAGACCGUGAAGAAGGCGAGCCCAGGCGACGAAAGAACCCGAGUCGUCCAAAUGUGUGGGGGCCUGAGGAUCCAGGUGAGGAAUAAGAGCACCUUCCCAGCCAUGACUUUUCCCGAGUCAGUCAGAGGCUGGCAGUCGACCUGGUUCUACUGCCAGGAUCAGUCGACGCCGGGGCAGUCGAGUGGACUCCCUCAGUUUACCAUGGACCGAGUGAACAAGCCCUCCUCUCUGAAGUUGAUUCCGGAGGAGAAAGCUGACGUGAAGAUGUUGAUGGAGCGCGUGGUACAGUUGGUUCGGGAGGGAGUGACGGGCAUGGAUCUCCUGGAGGUUUUCCUUAGGCGUCGUAUCCAGCCCCUUCAGUUCCGGAGCCACUGCAUGUGGUUGUACUGUGGGACUGAAGACGAGACUCGAGUCCAUCCAGAAGCAGUCGACGAUGUCACUCUGGAAAGAUGGAUGACCGCCGUUACUGGAAACAAG